rnacentral:rRNA from 1 species
UGGUGAGGCCAUACCACCCUGAACGCGCCCGAUCUCGUCUGAUCUCGGAAGCUAAGCAGGGUCAGGCCUGGUUAGUACUUGGAUGGGAGAAAGCAGUGGUGAAUUCCCAU